rfam:Myotis davidii contig100837, whole genome shotgun sequence.
GGUGGUUUGCAGGUGACGCACCCCAGAAUCGGGCUACCUCCUCUCUGGUUCUGGUUGCAUCACCCAAAAACCGCA